rnacentral:rRNA from 1 species
UACAGGGGGUGCAAACGUUGCUCGGAAUCAUUGGGCGUAAAGCGCACGUAGGCGGUUCGUUAUGUCGGAUGUGAAAGCCCUUGGCUUAACCGAGGAAGUGCAUCCGAAACUGGCGAGCUAGAGUACGAAAGAGGAUCGCGGAAUUCCCGGUGUAGAGGUGAAAUUCGUAGAUAUCAGGAGGAACACCGAUGGCGAAGGCAGGUCUCUGGGCAUUAACUGACGCUGAGGAGCGAAAGCAUGGGGAGCGAACAGG